rnacentral:tRNA from 1 species
CGCGGAGUGGAGCAGUUGGUAGCUCGUCGGGCUCAUAACCCGGAGGUCGUGUGGUUCAAGUCCCACCUCCGCAACCA